AGAGUUUGAUCCUGGCUCAGGAUGAACGCUAGCGGGAGGCCUAACACAUGCAAGUCGAACGGGAUUGAGAGCUUGCUCUCAUGAGAGUGGCGCACGGGUGAGUAACGCGUAUGCAACCUGCCCUUGACAGGGGGAUAGCCCGGAGAAAUCCGGAUUAAUACCCCAUGGUAUUUAAGUUCCGCAUGGGAUUUAAAUUAAAGAUUUAUCGGUCAGGGAUGGGCAUGCGUGACAUUAGCUAGUUGGCGGGGUAACGGCCCACCAAGGCUACGAUGUCUAGGGGUUCUGAGAGGAUGAUCCCCCACACUGGUACUGAGACACGGACCAGACUCCUACGGGAGGCAGCAGUGAGGAAUAUUGGUCAAUGGGCGCAAGCCUGAACCAGCCAUCCCGCGUGAAGGAUGAAGGUCCUAUGGAUUGUAAACUUCUUUUGUGCACCAAGAAUUGGCCUUACGAGUAAGGUUUUGACGGUAGUGCACGAAUAAGCAUCGGCUAACUCCGUGCCAGCAGCCGCGGUAAUACGGAGGAUGCAAGCGUUAUCCGGAUUCAUUGGGUUUAAAGGGUACGUAGGCGGCCUGUUAAGUCAGUGGUGAAAGUUUGCGGCUUAACCGUAAAAUUGCCAUUGAUACUGACAGGCUUGAGUACAGUUGAGGUAGGCGGAAUGUGUAGUGUAGCGAUGAAAUGCUUAGAUAUUACACAGAACUCCGAUUGCGAAGGCAGCUAGCUGGGGCAAUCCUGACGCUGAGGGACGAAAGCGUGGGGAUAAAAAAGGAUUAGAUACCCUUGUAUUCCACGCCCUAAACGAUGAGCACUAGCUAUUGCAAGUGUCGACCCUUGCAGUGGCUAAGCUAACGCGUUAAGUGCUCCGCCUGGGAAGUACGGCCGCAAGGCUAAAACUCAAAGGAAUUGACGG
rnacentral:rRNA from 1 species